UGUUCCCUGCGAUGUUGUCGGAUCAUAGAUUCCGUGAACCAUACUUCGAGCAUUCGGUUGUGGCUUAUACGAACGCUGUUGCGCGCGUUUUUCCCUGAACGUGCCUGAUGCGCUCCCGCUGCGACCUCCUGGUCAACCAGGUUCAGGAUGCUGGUCUGACGGCAUUUGCGGGGAACUC
rnacentral:other from 1 species